GGGUGAAAAGGCGAGGUAAGAGCUCACCAGUUUCCCGGGUGACCGGGAAAGCUUGGUAAACCCCAUCCGGAGCAAGACCGAAUAGGAAAGCGUUAAGGAUGGCCCGUCCGUGCUUUCGGGUAGGUCGCUCGAGGCAGCAGGCAACUGCUAUCCCAGAUGAAUGAUCAUCGCCCCAUCCCGGGUGACCGGGAAGGGGAACAGAACUCGGCUUAUGCACUGCUGCAACUC
rnacentral:RNase_P_RNA from 1 species